CCUACGGGGGGCUGCAGUGGGGAAUAUUGGACAAUGGGGGCAACCCUGAUCCAGCCAUGCCGCGUGUGUGAAGAAGGCCCUCGGGUUGUAAAGCACUUUCAGUGAGGAAGAACGCCUGGUGGUUAAUACCCAUCAGGAAAGACAUCACUCACAGAAGAAGCACCGGCUAACUCCGUGCCAGCAGCCGCGGUAAUACGGAGGGUGCGAGCGUUAAUCGGAAUUACUGGGCGUAAAGCGCGCGUAGGUGGCUUGAUAAGCCGGUUGUGAAAGCCCCGGGCUCAACCUGGGAACGGCAUCCGGAACUGUCAAGCUAGAGAGCAGGAGAGGAAGGUAGAAUUCCCGGUGUAGCGGGGAAAUGCGUAGAGAUCGGGAGGAAUAACAGUGGCGAAGGCGGCCUUCUGGACUGACACUGCCACUGAGGUGCGAAAGCGUGGGUAGCAAACAGGAUUAGAUAUCCGAGUAGUA
rnacentral:rRNA from 1 species